CUCAAACAGUGGAGUCAUUGAUGUGCCUCCAAAACUGGUUAAGAAGUGAACCAAUUGGCAACAUUGAGUAUGAAGUAAGUCCUGCAGAGCUUGAAUUUUAUCAAGAGUGUGAAGAAGGUAAUUAUUUUGUUUUGUAUAGUUUGGUUUAUAAGUUUAUAUUAAUUGGUUUACAAUUAACUUUUGUUCUUUGUUGUAGAAUAUAAAAGAAGAAAAGCAAAUAUUAAAUCUACAAGUUCAACCAUUUCAUCAAGUGUUCCUGAAAUUGAAGCUCCUCAAACAACUCGAACGAACAAAGGAAAAGGAAUUGCGAUUCAAUGAGGAAUUGAGGAUUGUUGUUGGAACUUGGGCAUUGGAUGUGGUUUUAAUUUGAAAUUUAUUGCGGAUGUCAUGUUUAUGUUGUUUUGGAUUAUUUGAUUUUUGGAAUUUGGAUGUCUUGGACUUUUGGAUAUUGUGUAUGUGGAUUUCAUUUUUAGAUGUUGGAGGACGAUGUAAUAUUGUUAUUUUGGAUGUAUUGUUAAAACUUAAUUUAUGAACUUGGAUAUUAGACUUUGUAUUUAGAUUAGAUGUGAAUAAUGGUGAAUUUGUGCAAAA